UACGUAGGGGGCCAGCGUUGUCCGGAAUCAUUGGGCGUAAAGCGCGCGUAGGCGGUCAGGUAAGUCCGGUGUGAAAGUCAAAGGCUCAACCUUUGAAUGCCGCUGGAUACUGCUUGACUUGAGUCCGGAAGGGGCGAGUGGAAUUCCGUGGUGUAGCGGUGAAAUGCGCAGAUAGUCGGGAGGAACACCGGUGGCGAAGGCGGUUCUCUGGGCAGUAACUGACGCUGAGGAGCGAAAGCGUGGGGAGCGAACAGG
rnacentral:rRNA from 1 species